rnacentral:rRNA from 2 species
UACCAGCUGGCUGCAACUGUUUAUUAAAAACACAGCACUGUGCAAACACGAAAGUGGACGUAUACGGUGUGACGCCUGCCCGGUGCCGGAAGGUUAAUUGAUGGGGUCAGCGCAAGCGAAGCUCCUGAUCGAAGCCCCGGUAAACGGCGGCCGUAACUAUAACGGUCCUAAGGUAGCGAAAUUCCUUGUCGGGUAAGUUCCGACCUGCACGAAUGGCGUAAUGAUGGCCAGGCUGUCUCCACCCGAGACUCAGUGAAAUUGAACUCGCUGUGAAGAUGCAGUGUACCCGCGGCAAGACGGAAAGACCCCGUGAACCUUUACUAUAGCUUGACACUGAACAUUGAGCCUUGAUGUGUAGGAUAGGUGGGAGGCUUUGAAGCGUGGACGCCAGUCUGCGUGGAGCCGACCUUGAAAUACCACCCUUUAAUGUUUGAUGUUCUAACGUGGACCCGUAAUCCGGGUUGCGGACAGUGUCUGGUGGGUAGUUUGACUGGGGCGGUCUCCUCCUAAAGAGUAACGGAGGAGCACGAAGGUUGGCUAAUCCUGGUCGGACAUCAGGAGGUUAGUGCAAUGGCAUAAGCCAGCUUGACUGCGAGCGUGACGGCGCGAGCAGGUGCGAAAGCAGGUCAUAGUGAUCCGGUGGUUCUGAAUGGAAGGGCCAUCGCUCAACGGAUAAAAGGUACUCCGGGGAUAACAGGCUGAUACCGCCCAAGAGUUCAUAUCGACGGCGGUGUUUGGCACCUCGAUGUCGGCUCAUCACAUCCUGGGGCUGAAGUAGGUCCCAAGGGUAUGGCUGUUCGCCAUUUAAAGUGGUACGCGAGCUGGGUUUAGAACGUCGUGAGACAGUUCGGUCCCUAUCUGCCGUGGGCGCUGGAAGACUGAGGGGGGCUGCUCCUAGUACGAGAGGACCGGAGUGGACGCAUCACUGGUGUUCGGGUUGUCAUGCCAAUGGCACUGCCCGGUAGCUAAAUGCGGAAAAGAUAAGUGCUGAAAGCAUCUAAGCACGAAACUUGCCCCGAGAUGAGUCUUCCCUGAGACUUUGAGUCUCCUGAAGGAACGUUAAAGACGAUGACGUUGAUAGGCCGGGUGUGUAAGCGCAGCGAUGCGUUGAGCUAACCGGUACUAAUGAACCGUGAGGCUUAACCUUACAACGCCGAAG